rnacentral:rRNA from 1 species
CUGCCUGGUAGUGGGGGACGAACGUUUCGAAAGGAAACGCUAAUACCGCAUACGUCCUACGGGAGAAAGCAGGGACCUUCGGGCCUUGCGCUAUCAGAUGAGCCUAGGUCGGAUUAGCUAGUUGGUGAGGUAAUGGCUCACCAAGGCGACGAUCCGUAACUGGUCUGAGAGGAUGAUCAGUCACACUGGAACUGAGACACGGUCCAGACUCCUACGGGAGGCAGCAGCG